rnacentral:rRNA from 1 species
AUUGAACGCUGGCGGCAGGCCUAACACAUGCAAGUCGAACGAGUGGCGGACGGGUGAGUAAUGUCUGGGAAACUGCCCGAUGGAGGGGGAUAACUACUGGAAACGGUAGCUAAUACCGCAUACCAUCGGAUGUGCCCAGAUGGGAUUAGCUAGUAGGUGGGGUAACGGCUCACCUAGGCGACGAUCCCUAGCUGGGCUGAGAGGAGGACCAGCCACACUGGUACUGAGACACGGUCAAGCCAACUACGGGGGGCAGCAGUGGGGAAUAUUGCACAAUGGGCGAAAGCCUGAUGCAGCCAUGCCGCGUGUAUGAAGAAGGCCUGAGGGUUGUAAAGUACUUUCAGCUGGGAGGCGUUACUCGCAGAAGAAGCACCGGCUAACUCCGUGCCAGCCGCCGCGGUAAUAC